CAGAUGUCAUGGGUCCCAUAAACACAAAAGAGGCAUUUUUUGCCUGGUGGGGCACCCUCUAACCUUGUCUCAAUAAGAGGGUAAUAUAACAAGGGUAUAUUUGAUAGGUUUAUAAAUGGUAAGAAUGACUCCACCAGCCAGGACAUCCAUUACCAAUGGCGGGGAACCAGCUAAAAGUCGUAUCAGGAGGCAGAGAUGAGAAGCAUGGUUAAGAACUUCUUAGUGGUAUUAGAUCUCACACCAGGUCAUAUGGGUGGACUUCAUAUGAGUAUCACAGCAACUCAUCACAGAACACUUCUUGGCUGGGAUUAGGAGAAGAUAAUAGCAUAUUGUGAGAGCCAACUAGUCACCAGGCAUAGUGUCAUGAUGGAUUCUUGAAAGCCCAGGAACCCACGAAAGUAGAUACUCUCAUGCUAAUUUUCGCUUGGAGGAAACUGAGGUACAGAGAGGUCUAGAAACUGGCAGUGAUGGAACCGGCACAGACUUCAGCCUCACUGACUGCAGCACGCAUGCCCUUGAACCACCCCACGCUGCCUGGAUAUCGAUGGAUUAUGAGUG
rnacentral:lncRNA from 1 species